rnacentral:rRNA from 1 species
GAUGAACGCUGGCGGCGUGCUUAACACAUGCAAGUCGAACGAUGAAGCCCAGCUUGCUGGGUGGAUUAGUGGCGAACGGGUGAGUAACACGUGAGUAACCUGCCCUUAACUCUGGGAUAAGCCUGGGAAACUGGGUCUAAUACCGGAUAGGAGCGUCCACCGCAUGGUGGGUGUUGGAAAGAUUUAUCGGUUUUGGAUGGACUCGCGGCCUAUCAGCUUGUUGGUGAGGUAAUGGCUCACCAAGGCGACGACGGGUAGCCGGCCUGAGAGGGUGACCGGCUACACUGGGACUGAGGCACGGCCGAGACUCCUACGGGAGGCAGCAGUGGGGAAUAUUGCAGAAUGGGCGCAAGCCUGAUGCAGCGACGCCGCGUGAGGGAUGACGGCCUUCGGGUUGUAAACCUCUUUCAGUAGGGAAGAAGCGAAAGUGACGGUACCUGCAGAAGAAGCACCGGCUAACUACGUG